CAAUAGCGUAUAUUUAAGUUGUUGCAGUUAAAAAGCUCGUAGUUGGAUUUCGGGUGGGACGCAGCGGUCUCGCAUUGCGUUUGUACUGCUGCAGCCCUCCUUCUUGCCGGGGGCGGCCUGUCGGACUUCACUGUCUGCGGGUCAGAAUCGGCGAUGUUACUUUGAGUAAAUUAGAGUGUUCAAAGCAAGCUUACGCUCUGAAUAUAAUAGCAUGGGAUAACACGACAGGACUCUGGCCUAUCGUGUUGGUCUAUAGGACCAGAGUAAUGAUUAAGAGGGACAGUCGGGGGCAUUCGUAUUCCGUUGUCAGAGGUGAAAUUCUUGGAUUUACGGAAGACGAACAUCUGCGAAAGCAUUUGCCAAGGAUGUUUUCAUUAA
rnacentral:rRNA from 1 species